rnacentral:lncRNA from 1 species
AAGUCACGAUAUAAUGCUGGAGUGCCUUGUUGUGGAGGAACAUUCUCUAGUAUAAAUCGAUAAAAAUAUAGGCAUACAGGCUCCAGCUUCAACGAUGGGUACAAAGAUUGAAAGUCAUAAGUCGCCCAUGUCAUAUUCUCGCUUACAGAUAUAUUCUUUACUCGCUCUAAAACAUCUUCUGGGGACUGCACGGAGUUUUCCGAUUCCCCUAUGACACUAUUACACCAUCGGACUAAUGUUCGUUCGAGUUCAUUAGUCGGCGCAUUCCGUUUUUCUACAAUCGGGCGAUACUCAAUCGGUGUUUUAUGCGUCUUAAUGUAUGCAAAGAUCCGUGGACUAUUUAUUGUUUGUUGUCUAUUUACUUUCCAUAUUUGCGGAAAAUCUUUAGAUCCAAUGAUCCUGCUCACUCGUCUCUCUAUCUUCCUCGUAGGAUCACCAUCCAAUACCUCUGCC